rnacentral:rRNA from 1 species
ACGGGCGGAGUGUACAAGGCCCGGGAACGUAUUCACCGUGGCAUUCUGAUCCACGAUUACUAGCGAUUCCGACUUCAUGGAGUCGAGUUGCAGACUCCAAUCCGGACUACGACGCACUUUAUGAGGUCCGCUUACUCUCCGCGAGGGUCGCUUCUCCUUUUGUAUGGCGCCAAUUUGUUAGCAACGUUGUUGUANCCUGGGUCCGUAAAGGGGCAAUGAAU